UACGGAGGGUGCGAGCGUUAAUCGGAAUUACUGGGCGUAAAGCGUGCGUAGGCGGUUUGAUAAGUCGGGUGUGAAAGCCCCGGGCUUAACCUGGGAAUUGCAUUCGAUACUGUCUGACUCGAGUCUGGGAGAGGGAAGCGGAAUUCCCAGUGUAGAGGUGAAAUUCGUAGAUAUUGGGAAGAACACCGAUGGCGAAGGCAGCCAUCUGGACCGACACUGACGCUGAGGCGCGAAAGCGUGGGGAGCAAACAGG
rnacentral:rRNA from 1 species